UUAGAUUGCACAAGUAUUUGUUUAUUACAGCACUGUUUCCUCAAGACAUGACUUGUACAAUUGUAUGCACACUACAGCAAUGCCUACAUGUUGACAAACAAAACACGAAUAGACUGAUUCCAUACAAUUCCAAGACACCGUUUACAGGCGCAGCACCCGCGUACUCCAUACAAUUCCAAGACACCGUUUACAGGCGCAGCACCCGCGUACUCCAUACAAUUCCAAGACACCGUUUACAGGCGCAGCACCCGCGUACUCCAUACAAUUCCAAGACACCGUUUACAGGCGCAGCACCCGCGUACUCCGUACAUUUUAAGGCAUGGUUUACAUAUGUGUUAUAUGUCAGACUCACAAGACAAAGGUCACAAAGCCUCCACAUCCAAUAAAUAACAUUACAUUUACACUAAUAUUGUGUACUGCAACCCACCUCAAGAGCAGAGCAGAUCUCAGCCCACCUGAAGUAAAUGCAAGCCUCAGACUGGCCGGGAAGGAGCGCAAAUAGGCUCAGUUGGUUACGGGGUUGGAUUAGCCCUGCGGUACAAACAAACAAAGCAAAGCUAACCCAACCCCGUAAGCAAGGCAAAGCUAAAGCCAAUUUGGCUGAGAUCAAUUGAUUGCAAAGCUAAAGCCAAUUGGGUUGAGAUCAAUUGACUGCAAAGCUAAAGCCAAUUUGGGCAAGAUAAAUUGACUGCACCUGCCAAAAUCGGUGCAACUCUCAGAAUGGCCGCAAAGGGGCGCGAGUCUCAGACUGGCCGGGAAGGAGCGCAAAUGGGCUCCAUUGGCCUCGGGCGUUGGUUACGGGGUUGGGUUAGCCCUGCGGUACAAACAAACAAAGCAAAGCUAACCCAACCCCGUAAGCAACGCAAAGCUAAAGCCAAUUUGGCUGAGAUCAAUUGAUUGCAAAGCUAAAGCCAAUUGGGUUGAGAUCAAUUGACUGCAAAGCUAAAGCCAAUUUGGGCAAGAUAAAUUGACUGCACCUGCCAAAAUCGGUGCAACUCUCAGAAUGGCCGCAAAGGGGCGCGAGUCUCAGACUGGCCGGGAAGGAGCGCAAAUGGGCUCC
rnacentral:lncRNA from 1 species